rnacentral:lncRNA from 1 species
UUGUGCGGAGGGAGAGUGUGGUUUGUGUCUUUGAUGUAAUAGUGAUGACAGGGUAGAAGGUGCCCUUGCAGUCACGUCUGGGUAGGUUCUUGAAACAGAGGUAUAUUUUAGAAAAAGCUUUGCUAAGACGUGGAGCUUGUUGGUGAGGAACAAGUACAUCGUAGACGUAUGAGCAACAGGCGAGAAGGACAGGCAUACUGUACUUGUCCCACUCUGUAAUAUCACACCACAAGAGCAUUUGUAAAGCUAACUGCGGGUGCGAUCAGAAAUGUGUGUUCUUGAAGACUGUACAGAGUGCGGCUGGAGGUAGCAUCAGAGACACCUGUGUCAUUAAUGGGCUUUCAAGUCUAACCUUGCUUGGGUGUCUUUGCCUUCCAAAAAUAAGGAAAUGUGGAAAAUUUGUACCAUCUUAAAGUUCAAAACCUGGAAGACUGGAAGAAAUUAAAAAAUAAACUUGAAAGCAUAAU